rnacentral:rRNA from 1 species
GAUGAACGCUGGCGGCGUGCCUAACACAUGCAAGUCGAACGGAGUUAUUAUUAUGAAGUCUUCGGAUGGAUUAAUAAUAACUUAGUGGCGGACGGGUGAGUAACGCGUGGGUAACCUGCCUCAUACAGGGGGAUAACAGUUGGAAACGACUGCUAAAACCGCAUAACACUGCACCAUCGCAUGGUGGAGCAGUUAAAUAUUUAUAGGUAUGAGAUGGGCCCGCGUCUGAUUAGCUAGUUGGUGAGGUAAUGGCUCACCAAGGCGACGAUCAGUAGCCGGCUUGAGCGAGUGACCGGCCACAUUGGGACUGAGACACGGCCCAAACUCCUACGGGAGGCAGCAGUGGGGAAUAUUGCACAAUGGGCGAAAGCCUGAUGCAGCAACGCCGCGUGAGCGAUGAAGGCCUUUGGGUCGUAAAGCUCUGUCCUUGGGGAAGAAAAAAAUGACGGUACCCUUGGAGGAAGCCCCGGCUAACUACGUGCCAGCCGCCGCAGUAAAAC